rnacentral:rRNA from 1 species
UAGAGACGAGAGAGUUUGAUCAUGGCUCAGAGCGAACGCUGGCGGCAGGCCUAACACAUGCAAGUCGAACGGAUCCUUCGGGAUUAGUGGCGGACGGGUGAGUAACACGUGGGAACGUGCCCUUUGGUUCGGAACAACUCAGGGAAACUUGAGCUAAUACCGGAUAAGCCUUUCGAGGGAAAGAUUUAUCGCCAUUGGAGCGGCCCGCGUAGGAUUAGCUAGUUGGUGGGGUAAAGGCCCGCCAAGGCUACGAUCCUUAGCUGGUCUGAGAGGAUGAUCAGCCACAUUGGGACUGAGACACGGCCCAAACUCCUACGGGAGGCAGCAGUGGGGAAUCUUGCGCAAUGGGCGAAAGCCUGACGCAGCCAUGCCGCGUGAAUGAUGAAGGUCUUAGGAUUGUAAAAUUCUUUCACCGGGGACGAUAAUGACGGUACCCGGAGAAGAAGCCCCGGCUAACUUCGUGCCAGCCGCCGCGGUAAU